rnacentral:rRNA from 1 species
UACGUAGGGGGCAAGCGUUGUCCGGAUUUACUGGGCGUAAAGGGCGCGUAGGCGGCAAUUCAAGUCAGCUGUGAAAUCUCCGGGCUUAACUCGGAACGGUCAGCUGAUACUGCUUUGCUAGAGUGCAGAAGGGGCAAUCGGAAUUCUUGGUGUAGCGGUGAAAUGCGUAGAUAUCAAGAGGAACACCUGAGGUGAAGACGGGUUGCUGGGCUGACACGUGACGCUGAGGCGCGAAAGCUAGGGUAGCAAACGGG